UGGCGGCAGGCUUAACACAUGCAAGUCGAGCGGUAACAGAGAGUAGCUUGCUACUCUGCUGACGAGCGGCGGACGGGUGAGUAAUCCCUAGGAAUCUCCCUAGUAGUGGGGGAUAACUUCCCGAAAGGUAAGCUAAUACCGCAUACGUCCUACGGGAGGAAAGCAGGGGACUCUUCGGACCCUUGCCCUAUUAGAUGACCCUAGGUCGGAUUAGUUUAGUUGGGUGAGGUAAUGGCUCACCAAGACAGCGAUCCCUAACUGGUCUGAGAGGAUGAUCAGUCACACUGGACUGAGACACGGUCCGGACUCCUACGGGAGGCAGCAGUGGGGAAUUUUGCACAAUGGGGGAAACCCUGAUCAGCGAUCCCGCGUGAGCGAUGAAGGUCUUCGGAUCGUAAAGCUCUGUCCUUGGGGAUGAAUUUUGACAGUACCCAAGGAGGAAGCCCCGGCUAACUACGU
rnacentral:rRNA from 1 species